GUACCAGCGGCAGGCGGGCAGCGGCCGCCCCUCCCAGCCCACCAGCUGGCCACUAAAAGCUCCCGGUUGCCAAGGACUUCCUUCUUAAGGUUUUGAUCAAGUUAGACGCUCUGCUCAGAAGACAAAUGGCAUCACAGGACAGAUUUGAAAGAAGUUUCAAGAAAACAGCUGCAUUAGAAGACCAAGGGAGUUCCAGGAACAAGAUGAGAAGAGUAUUUUACUGUAUGGAACAUGUUCUUCAUUACGACUCUGGCAACUAAAACAGUCACUAUGGCUGGUUAUCAAUUAAGUACCUACCAAAAAAAAAAGAAUAACCUUUAGAUCUCCCUUUAAUGAGGAUAAAAUGUUUUUACACUGA
rnacentral:lncRNA from 1 species